UUAGGUCCAUGCGGUGGUAAAACAACUGGUCAAUCCCGCCUUUGCACAUUUUUUGAAAAUCUAGGAUGGAAGGUAUUCCGUGUGCCUGAAACGGCUUCCGUACUACUCAGUGGCGGUGUAAAGUUUUCGGACCUGACG